CCCUUAGAUGUUCUGGGCCGCACGCGUGCUACACUGAGUAAAUCAAUGGGUAAGGGAACACGAAAGUGCAACCUAAUCUUGAAAUUUGCUCGUGAUGGGGAUCGACGGUUGCAAUUUUCCGUCGUGAACGAGGAAUACCUUGUAGGCGCGUGUCAUCAUCACGCGCCGAAUACGUCCCUGCCCUUUGUAUACACCGCCCGUCGCUCCUACCGAUUGAGUGAUCCGGUGAGGCUCUGGGACCUGGACGGAAAGAGCGUUUCGCUUGUUCUGUUUGGGAAACUUGGUCGAACCUUAUCAUUUAGAGGAAGGAGAAGUCGUAACA
rnacentral:rRNA from 1 species